GACGUAGGUGGCGAACGUUAUCCGGAAUCAUUGGGCGUAAAGGGUGCGUAGAUGGCAUGAUAAGUUAUUAGUGGGAAAUCGAGGCUCAACCUCGUGGAAGCUAGUAAUACUGUUUUGCUUGAGUACAGAAGAGGUUAAUGGAACUCCAUGUGGAGCGGUAAAAUGCGUAGAUAUAUGGAAGAACACCAAUAACGGCGAAGGCAGUUAACUAUUCUGUUACUGACAUUGAGGCACGAAAGCGUGGGGAGCAAAACGG
rnacentral:rRNA from 1 species